GGGGGGGGGGGGGGGGGGGGGGGGGGGGGGGGGGGGGGGGGGGGGGGGGGCCGCUCUUCCGAUCUUGGCACACUGCGGUCACGUGGGGACUCAUUGGGGACAUUUGGGGACACACUGGGGUCACGUGGGGACAUUGGGAGGACACUGGGGUCCUGUUGGUGACACUGGGAACACACUGGGGACACUGGGGACGCAUUGGGGUCCUGCUGGGGACAUUUGGGGUCCUGCUGGGGAUACACGGGUGUCACGCGUGUGACACUUGGGGACACCGCGGUGACCCAGAGCGGGACAGGGCACCUCGGGGUGGCCCCGAUGUCCCCAAGGCGAGGCCACCGCGGUGUCCCCGAGGUGACAGCGCCACCCCCGUGUCCCCUCCCUGUCCCUGUCCCUGUCCCUGUCCCUGUCCCCGCCAGCGCCAACUGCGCCACCUCCAGUGGGGACACACUGGGGUCCUGCAGGGGACAUGGGGACACACUGGGGUGACGUCACAGCGCCACCCCCGUGUCCCCUCCCUGUCCCUGUCCCUGUCCCCGCCCCCCCUGCACCACCUGCAGGCACCGCGCCAGCUCCUCGUGUCCCUCCCCCGAUGUCCCCAAGGCCACCAGGAUGUCGCCGAGCGCUCGCGCGGUGGCGGGGAAUCCCUGUCGCCGCGUCCCCCACGGUGUCACCGCCGUGUCGCGCCGGACGGCGGCCACCAGUGUCCCCAAGUGCCGCGUCACCUCCUCCAGCCGCGCCAGGACAGCGGCGCUGGCCGCGCCGGUGGCAGAUCGGAAGAGCGGGGGGGGGGGGGGGGGGGGGGGGGGGGGGGGGGGGGGGGGGGGGGGGGGGGGGG
rnacentral:lncRNA from 1 species